rnacentral:lncRNA from 1 species
AUGUGUUUUUUCCUUCCAUCAGAGGACAGGAACAGAGGGACUUCACAGGGGAAAGGAGGACCCAAUCCCCAGGGUCCCUGUCCACAGCUAGGAAGGUCAAUACUUCUGGAAAAGGAACAAAGGUUGGGUAGCCCAGGCUCCAGGCCCACGGAUGGACCCCAGGCAGCCCUGGAUCAGUUUCUCCACUGGGUCAAGCACAGCUGCAACUGGGAAGCUGUGCAAUACGAGAGGGGACCCGCCAGUGAGAGUCUGCCUGCCGGUGAGCCUGCCAGUGAGGCAGGAGCCAGCCGACUUGAAGGAGACCGGAAGGCAAUCGAUCAGAGUCGCCCUGGCAACCGGGCUGAGCCAGAGACAGACAGCACGUCGAUAAUGAAAUCAUCGUUAAACGACUUCAAGCCCUAAUUAAUAAUCCAGGCCAACCGAGGCCAUGCCUGACUGGGGUGGGGGGGGAGGGGAUGUCAUUGUUGGGGGAGCAUUGGAAGCUUCUGGACAAUUAAUCAAUUAAUCCACUCACUCAAUAAUUGGCUCCUUUGUCCUCUGCCGUGCCCCCCUCCCCCCUGCCAUCCACCUCUGACUGCAGAGGGGCUAAGAAGAGAUGUGCGGCUCAUCAUUUCCAAGGGUCAUGGAGCCUCUUCUCUUUUUAGAUUUCCUGGACCAACUCAAAACCCUUCCCCAAGGUUGGACUCUUCCACAAGACCCACCAAAGGGCAAAAAUUUCAGCACCUGGAGCCCUAGCUAUCCAGACGCCUCCCCAUACCGCCUGCUCCUUAGCCCAUGGCAUCCCCACCCCCACAUGCCCGCCACACACAGACCCACCCUGACUGAGGAAAGAGCACUGAACUCCAGUCAAGAGAGUCAGGGAGGAGUUCCUGCAGUGGUUAACGAAUCCGACUAGGAACCAUGAGGUUGUGGGUUCCAUCCCUGGCCUCACUCAGUGGGUUAAGGAUCCAGCGUUGCCGUGAGCUGUGGUGUAGGUUGCAGAUGUGGCUCGGAUCCUGUGUUGCUGUGGCUGUGGUGUAGGCUAGUGGCUACAGCUCGGAUUAGACCCCUAGCCUGGGAACAUCCACAUGCCGCGGGCUCAGUCCUAAAAAGACAAAAAAGACAAACAAAAAAGAAGAUUCAGGGAAAUCCCAGCCACACCAGUCCACCGCCAAAUAUGUGACUUUGGGCAGAUGACACGCCCUCUCCCAAGACCUCAGUUUCCCCAGCUGUUACCUGAGAGGCCCCAACUGAUUUCAGAGAUUUUCUGAUACCUUCCUGCCCUAUAGACAGUACCCUAUGAUGCUAAUGACUGGGCCUGGAUCCUCUCCCACUCCUCUCUACUCCGUUUCUUUACCUUAGAGGGUAAGAGGGGGACUGGAAGGAGUGCCAGGCACUGAUUUAUAAAGUUCCCCCUCCCCAA